CAGCCGCCAGGUAAUACGUAGGGUGCAAGCGUUAAUCGGAAUUACUGGGCGUAAAGCGUGCGCAGGCGGUUAUAUAAGUCAGAUGUGAAAUCCCCGGGCUCAACUUGGGAACUGCAUUUGAGACUGUAUGGCUAGAGUGUGUCAGAGGGGGGUAGAAUUCCACGUGUAGCAGUGAAAUGCGUAGAUAUGUGGAGGAAUACCGAUGGCGAAGGCAGCCCCCUGGGAUAACACUGACGCUCAUGCACGAAAGCGUGGGGAGCAAACAGGAUUAGAUACCCCUGUAGUCCCUGUCUCUUAUACA
rnacentral:rRNA from 1 species